CAUUAGGCCACGUAGCUACCAUGGGCUGAGCUACGCUGCGCACGCCACCCUGAAUCCCAUGUCUAUUUGGGGACUGGGCUUUGAGCUUGGUGCCCGUAGCUAACGUGAUAAAUCGACCGCCUGGGGACUACGGCCGCCGGUUAAAACUCAAAUGAAUUGACGGGGGCCCGCACAAGCGGUGGAGCAUGUGGUUUAAUUCGAUGCAACGCGAAGAACCUUACCUACUCUUGACAUCCAUGGAAUCUUAUAGAGAUACGAGAGUGCCUUCGGGAACCAUGAGACAGGUGCUGCAUGGCUGUCGUCAGCUCGUGUUGUGAAAUGUUGGGUUAAGUCCCGCAACGAGCGCAACCCUUAUCCUUUGUUGCCAGCGGUUAGGCCGGGAACUCAAAGGAGACUGCCAGUGAUAAACUGGAGGAAGGUGGGGAUGACGUCAAGUCAUCAUGGCCCUUACGAGUAGGGCUACACACGUGCUACAAUGGCGUAUACAGAGGGAAGCAAUCCUGCGAGGGGGAGCGAAUCUCAGAAAGUGCAUCUAAGUCCA
rnacentral:rRNA from 1 species